rnacentral:lncRNA from 1 species
AUUUUACUCGAGUCUUUAUUAUAAAAAUCAUCCCUUAAUAUUACGUUGUAGAAAUUAAAAAAAAAAAAAAAAGAUCUCUAGAAAAGAUUUCAUUGUUGUACUUCUUUUGUGUGUGUGUGUGUGUGUGUGUGUGUAAGAAGAAGAAGAAGAAGAAGAAGAAGCACAUAAUUAGAAAUCCUUUUAUAACUUCUCCGAUUGUUUCAUUGGCCUCCUUUAAUUUUCAGGAAAUACUAAUUGCUGAUACUGUGUAAAUGCAUGUCGUUUUAGUUCUAGAUUUUGCAAAAACAUUAUCAAAUAAAGGAUUAAAUCUUGCAUCCUCCACAUGGUGAGACAAAGAAAGUUAAUUUGUUCGUUAAUAGAUGCUAGGAAGGCCAAAAAGGAGAAGCGCUUGCAAAUGGAUUAGUGAAGAAGGCUUUUCAUAUGAAAAUGAUAAAUUAUGUUGAUGUUGAGGACACUGAAUCACUGAUGGAGCUUGAGUUUUGCACACAAAGAUACAUGAGGUGCUUUGACUCUGGGGAAGCUAGCCAGUAUAGUAACACAUUACCCUACAAAUAUUAUUAUUGAUAUCACAUCUGACAAGCACAUGCAAGAAAACAAUGCAUGAAACAAAACAAGCUGAGGCUGUAGUUGCACUACCUCGCCUUGAAAACCUAAGUUGUUUCACCUGUUUGCUGACAAUGCUAGCUAGGAAUGAACAAGAAGCCUGUGACUGGGUUACUUAAAAUAUUAUUACUUACCGCGCAACUUACAUCUAAACUAACAAUUCCUCCGCGGGGUCCAGCUGAAGGCCGAAGUUGAUCUUUGGGGCACACGGCGCAGAUACAUGAAUAUGUUACACUUUGACUUGUCUGUCUUCUUGUGUCCUUGAAAAGAGUAGUAUUAAUUGCUCUACGUAUACUUAAUGACUGUUGCAUGUGAACUCCUCAAAAGCUGCUAGCUAGACAGUCCAUUAUUUAUCUAGCUGCUAAUUUUGAUAUUUGGAUGAAAAUACACGAGUAUAUAUAAUAAGAAGUGAAAAUUCACUCUUACUGAGGAGGUGCUGUUCAUGAUGACAUUAUUGACAGUCCAUUAUUUUGCUUGGUAAGUUAUUGUUUAUUUUAAAUACAUAUGUGUCUGUGCAAAUAUUCAGUACAUGUAUGCUUCGAGUGUCAGUUCAAUAAUGGUGGGGAGCUGAGAGACGUUUCAGCUUUAGAGGAGACUGAUUUGCCUCAGCUUUUGCAACUAAAUUAUUUGAUUGCAGUCUUCAAAAAAGAUACUAUUCUUUUUUUGUUUUUUUUUUCCACCAUCCAUUGAAGGUUAGUUGGUCCGAAGCUCUUCAUCAAGAAAUACAUUCAAGAUUUAGGUUUUUCAUUUUUUAAGUUUUCAAUUUUAGUUGGCGGAUUGAUGUGAGCAGAUUUGGAUCAAAAUAGUCUGAGCCAAUUUUGAGUGAAACGUAACUCGCACCCAGUUACCAAGUGCCCCCUCUACAUAAUACAAUUUCAAACAAUUCAGUAAAUUACAAUCAUAGUAUUCAUUAACAAUUUUUCUACUAUUUACAUUUGUCCUGUACUGAUUUUUUUUUCAUGUUUUGAAAUUAAUGUACGAUAGUUUCAAUAUUGUUAAUAUUAUUAAAUACAUACGUUUAGUUUUUUCAAUGUAUAUAUAACUAAAUUAUCAUUCAAUUAAUCGUAUUAUUCUGUGAGAUUAGGCAACAAAUUUAGGGUUUACUUUCGUUACUUGUAAGUUUCUAAAAUGAAGAACAUAAAAGAUUUUUAUGUAGACAGUUUGUUAAUGUUGAUUAUUUAUCUUUUAAAAGAAGCACGGCGAAAAAUGAAAGAGAAGCAAAACAAAAUUAUUAUUUUUGGGUUUAUUUUUUAGGUUAUUUUCUCUUUAUUUGGGUUUAAUUAAUAGGUGUGGGUAAUCUAUUUAUACAGAGCUAGAUUAACAAAUCAAAUUGCAAAGAGCUAGGCUUUUCGAGUAGAGGAGCAAGCAAGUAUUGAAAUGUUUAAAAUUAGUUGGUUUACAACAUCUCAUAAUUCUGAAACUCAGAUGGGAUAUUUUCAUAAAUUUAAAAAAUAUAAAAGGGCGUUUCGGAAAUCGUCCUUCAAACAUUUUGAAAAUAUAUUACAAAACACAUAACAAUAAUAUAUUGGUAUCUGGUAGUUUAUGAUUCAAACGUUAGAAGAAUGUCAUUGUUGUUCUAUUGAAUGUAGCCAUACAACUAGCUAAUCCCUCAUUACUGGCUCUGUAUUGUACACUGCACUUUAAGAGUGUGUUUGGGAUUGAGGUUGAUUAGCUGUAGCUUUUAAGUUACAACACUAAAGUAUUUGGUAAACACUAGCUGCUGUAGCUUGGAAUUUAUAUUAAUAUGAUUUUUCACUUGUAUA